AAAACAACCCUACGGGAGGCAGCAGUGGGGAAUAUUGGACAAUGGGCGCAAGCCUGAUCCAGCCAUGCCGCGUGAGUGAUGAAGGCCUUAGGGUUGUAAAGCUCUUUUGUCCGGGACGAUAAUGACGGUACCGGAAGAAUAAGCCCCGGCUAACUUCGUGCCAGCAGCCGCGGUAAUACGAAGGGGGCUAGCGUUGCUCGGAAUCACUGGGCGUAAAGGGCGCGUAGGCGGCCUUGUAAGUUGGGGGUGAAAGCCCGUGGCUCAACCACGGAAUUGCCUUCGAUACUGCUUGGCUUGAGUGUGGUAGAGGUUGGUGGAACUGCGAGUGUAGAGGUGAAAU
rnacentral:rRNA from 1 species